CACAUGGAAGAGCUGUAGGGUAGUGCUAAGGAAACACUGCAGAUAAAAAAGGCUCAGCAACCACAUCUCCAUCUCUUAUGUGAAGAAUCAAUUCCCCACCUCCAUCCACCCCAAAGAAGCUUGUACUGGGUUUUUUUCCUGGACAGAUCUGCUGCAACAACCUGGCUACCCGCAAUGUCCUGUACUCCAGCAUUUUGUAAAUAAAUUCAUUGCCCAGAUGAAUCAGGGGCCAGGACUUUGAAAACAAGAUAGGGCCAGGUGGCUGCUGUCCAAGAAAGCAUCUGGAGCAAUGCUUCAUCAGGAACCAGUGAUGGUGUGAAAUUUAACCAAACGAAAAAGGCUGGGGAUAGAAGAGGAAACGGAGAGAUGAGUCUAUGAACAGUCACUAAGAUCUGCAGAGGAUGGUGAAAACCAUUCACCAAGAGAGGAGAAAUGUAAUGGCCACCAUGACAGAGUUGAGCCCCAUAGAAGGGGAGAAUAAGUACUCCCAAGAUAUGCAAGUGGACAAGAAAUUCAUCCCCAGCAAAGUUCCAGGCUUAUGUUCCACUCGCUAUGGGUUAGCCUUUACCCUACAUUUCUGCAACUUGUCACUGGUAACACAAAAUAUUGUCAUGUACAUCACCAUGGUAGCCAUGGUCAAUAGCACAGACCAUCAAUCCCAGCUCAACAGCUCCACCGAGGGGCUGCCUAUUGAUUCAUUUGGUGGCCCAAAUAAUACUCCAAAGAGUCUUCCUGCAAGGGCUCCUGUGUAUGACUGGAGCCCCCAGGUGCAAGGCAUCAUCUUCAGCUCUCUCAGCUAUGGCAUGAUUCUGACAUUGGGUCUCAGUGGAUACCUGGCUGGAAGAAUAGGAACAAAGCGAGUGUUUGGUUUCUCUUUGUUUGUGUCUUCGCUUCUCACCCUUUGCACCCCUCUAGCCGUUGACUUUGGAUUAACUACCCUCAUUGUAACUCGAGUAGUCCACGGCCUAAGCCAGGGCUCAGGAUUUGGGGGUCAGUUUGCAGUUUGGGAAAAAUGGAGUCUUCCACAUGAACGAAGCAGACUCUGCACCAUUGCUUUAUCAGGAAUGGCACUGGGAUCCUUCACUGCCCUCCUCACUGGUGGUUUCAUUACUCAAGCCAUUGGGUGGCCUUUUGCCUUCUACAUCUUUGGAGGCAUUGGCUGUGUCUUUUGCCUUCUGUGGUUUGUUCUGGUUUAUGAUGACCCUGCCUCUCACCCAUGGAUAAGCACCUCAGAAAAAGAAUACAUCGUAUCCUCUUUGGACCAACAGGUCAGUUCUUUUAAGGAGCCUCUUCCCAUCAAGGCUAUAUUCAGAUCGCUACCCUUUUGGUCCAUCUGUAUUUGCAGUUUCGGCCAUAAUUGGUUACUUAUCACAAUAGUUGUAUACACACCAACUUAUAUCAGUUCUGUGCACAAUGUUAACAUCAGAGAUAAUGGAAUCCUAUCAGCCUUUCCUUUUCUUUGUGCCUGGGCCAUUGGUAUCAUGGGAGGAUGGCUGGCAGAUUUCCUUCUGAGCAAGAAUUUUAGGCUCAUCACAGUGAGGAAAAUUGCCACAGUUCUAGGAAAUCUACCCGCUUCAGCAUUUGUUGUGGCCCUGCCAUACCUCAAUUCCAACUAUAUCACUACAGUUACCUUUCUGACGCUUUCGUGUGUACUAAGCCAAUUUUGCCAAUCAGGAGUCUAUAUCAAUUCCUUAGAUAUUGCUCCAAGGACCCUGAGUUUGGGUGGAAGAAUACUUUCUUCUUGCUGUUUGGUGUUAACCUAUUCGGACUGAUCUUCUACAUCAUAUUUGGAGAAGCAGAUAUCCAAGAUUGGGCUAAAGAGAGGAAACUCACUCGUUUAUGAAGUUAUUCUACCAUGGAUGGAAAAGUCAUAAGGCACUUUAUUCAAUAAAUAAGACAACUCGGGUGAUGGAAAUACCAAUGAAAAGAAUUUCGUUUGCUGUGGCUCUUUUCAAAUAUGAGAUCAGUUCUUUCUUUUAUUCAGACUUCUUUUUGAGGAAAUUUUAGAUGAAUAAAAAUUCAAAUAAAGUAAUAACCCAGAACAAAGUUGUCAUCUUCAUAGAAUUAACAAUGAGUUAAGAGGAGUUGCAGAGUGGGAGCCAGUAUGUUAGGUUCUGUUUCUGGGUGCAAGAAACAAUGUUUUAAAACUCAUAAACCCAGGUAGCAACCUCUUAGGGCCAUGAUUUUUCCUAUUUGGGAAAAUAAUAUUAAUUUAUAUUCACUGGCUUGGGUGUUAUCCAUGUGGGACUCCCUGUGUGUGCUCCAUUCCUUUCCAUCCUGCUCAGGCCCCAAGAGGCUGACCAUCAUGGAUUGCAUCCCACACUCCCUUGUCCACUGGCUUCUACUAGAUUUUCAAUGGAGACAGGAAAGUGAAGACAGGGAAUCUCUUUGAUGGUCUCUCCUGUGGGGUCUGAAAGUGGCUGAUCUUUCCACUACCGUUCACAGCUCCUGGCAGGCAGCCCUCUUCACAUGUUCUGGUAACUUCUCUCUUUCCUUGUCCCUUCAGGCCCUUUUUGCCUUUAUUUUGCUAGCUCUGGGGUGCUACAGAAUCCCUUGUGGUUUCCCUACCACCUGCCCAAAUCUGUGAAAAUUGUCCCUUUUAACACUGUCCCCAAAUUACCCAGUGUAAGUCUGUCAUCUUUCUUCUUCUAGGAUCCAGCUAAUUCAGUGGUUUAAUCAUAUAUAAAGCUCAAAACAUGAAAUUAAUUAGUAUUUUUGUAAAAUGAUCAUUUGUAGAUGUCAGUGGGUCAGAGCAUGAUCAGAGGGUUCAGGACCAUGUUCUGGGUUGACCCCUAUGCUGAUUUCUACUAUGGAAUAGGGAUUAGAGCCGUUGAGUCAUUUCAUAUACAGGCAAUGUGAUAGAUAAUAGUUAUGAGUGAAAAAUCAGGGCACGGAUAUAGAGAAACAAGCUUGAGUAAACGCAAUAAUUACUGAGAUAGUGUUACAGUCUAGAGUCUGGGCUCUUGGGACACUGGAGUAAAUGAGACACAGUCACUGUUUUCCCUUCUAAUGUGGAGAACAGACACAGUAACAGAUAGCAGUAUACUGUGGUAUAAUAGCAAAGGAACAUGCAGGUCAUUAUGGGAGACCAGAUGGUGGGGAGGGCUCCCAUCCCAAGUUGAUGGGCACAGGGGGGAUCUCCUCCAGCAAGUAAUUGCUGAGCUAAACAUUUAACAGGGAACGAAUUUCCCACACUUUUGCAAAAGCAUGAAAACAAGAAAUAAGAUGGAUUCUGAAGGGAAUCACCUGCCUGAAUAAUCAGUUAGGAAAGGAUAGAUGAGUUUAGGGAAGUGUGCAUCGCCAGAAUAUAGAGGUCUUGUUUACCUAUCAGGGAAAUUGAGGUAUAUCUUAUAAGCAAUAAGGUAGUCAUCAAAGCAAUAUUGACAUGGGCAGAUUUCCUCAUUAGAUAAAACACUUUGGCCUAAUUCAAGAAUAAGGAAGACUAGUUAAAGGACCAUCUGUGCAGUGGUCUACACAGCAGUGAUGAAGACUGAACUAGGGCAAGGAGAGCUGAGAUGAAGAAAAGAGACAUGACAAAUAUUUAUAAGGUAGAAUUGGAAAAUCAUGGUAUUUGAUUAGAUGGAUGCAAGAAAAGAGAGAAGGAAUCAAGGAGUUCUGGGUCUCUAACCUGAGAGACUGGAUAGAGAGUUGUCUGAACAACUAAGGCAGACAAUGCAAGAAGAUGGGCCCUUUUCAGGGGGAAGGUAAUAAUUUGACUAUGGGACAUCUGAAUUGGUGAUGACAGUGGGAUAAUCAAGUGGGCAUGUGUAUUAGUUCCUGGAGCUGCCCUAACACAGUGCCACAAACUGGGUAGUCUAAACAACAGUAAUCUAUCAUCUUAACACUUCUAGAAGUCUGAAAUUAAGGUGCUGGCAAGGUUGUUUCUUUCUAUGGGCUGAGAGAAACAAUCUGUUCUAUGCCUCUCUUUUAGCUUCUGGAAACUAAAAGCUGUUCCUUGGCUUGAAAAUGAACUUCACCCUGAGUCUUCACAUUAUCUGUAUGACAGUACUUUAGGAUUUCAUAGGCCCAUGUUAUAGUAUACCAAGGGUUGGUCAAUCCUUUUGGUAUAACAAAGGGUGUUGGGAGGCCCCCGGAGAAGCUUACUGAUGGGUUUGUAGGUCUAGAUGACAAUAUAUUGGAUAUUUCCUUGUGCACAGGACAGGACACUAGGGAGCUUUAAAAAGUUAAGGUUUUUACAUCCAUGUAACCUUCUAUAUUGCCUUUAAAGUCUUUUGAUUAUCACUUUUGGUUAAACGAAUUGCUAUUAUUUUACAAUGACCUGUGAUUGUUUUGAUCAAAUGUUUUGAGCCUUUUAACAUCUUUGCCUAAAUUAAGUCUCUGACUUAGUUCUCUCACUCUGAGGGCAGCGCUAAAAUAACUGGUUAUGGUCUUUCCCUUCCACACCUGCCAGGGCACCCAAUUUGGCUCCUCCAUUCCCAUCAGGGCUAUUUCUUUUGAGGCAGGUCCCCAUUGGGGGAUUAAAAGAAAAUGGACAACCUGCUGGACUAAUGUGGGUUUAUAGCCUGUUCACCACUUCUUAUUCACAUAAUUGGGAACAAAAUAACCCUGCCUACAGGGAUGACCCAAGACAGAUAACAUAUCUCUGAGUCUAUUUUUACCACAAAUCAUCCCACCUGAGUGGAUGUGCAAAACUUCUGAAGAAUGUUGUAUUGUUUUGGAAAAUUCCAAGAAGAGACCGAUUGACUACAUACAGAAGACCUGAAUAAGCAGCUAAGGACCAGCACUAAUCUGUCGAUCCCUACUCAUGACCCCAGCUGGAAUCUGAAUGACAGAGAUAAAAGUAAGAUCCAACACUUUGGGGGCUACAUUUUAGUUGGGCUCAGAAAAGGAGUCCCUAAGCUCAAAAGCCUAAACAAAGUUCAGGAAAUAAGACAGGAAGCAGAUGAGAAUCCAUCAGCCUUUUAAAAAAGAAUUUUAGAAGCAUAUCAAAAGUAUACAGAUGUAGACUUGGAGAACCCUGAAAACUCAAAUCUGAUCAACAUGAACUUUAUUGGUCAAAGCAUGCCUAAAAUCCACCAAAGUACAAAAAUUGGAAGGUGCCUUAACCUUGCCAAUAUCUCACCUGGUUGAAGUAGCCUGUAAAGUCUUUAUAAAUCAUGACAGUCUAAAGAACAACAAAUGAAAACAAUUGCAAGAAAUAGUAGGCUAAAUUUUUGACAGCAGCCUUGACAAGGACUUCUAAGGGUCCCAGUGAAAAAGACUCGCAACCCCAAGGAGAGGGAAAAAGAAUUCGCCAAAGGCUACCACCCCCCAUGAAAAAAAUCAAUGUGCUUGUUGUAAAGCAGGUCAUUGGAAGAAGGACUGUCCCAAGCUGAAGCAGAAGAGUAGGGAGCUUGCCCUGCAAUUGCCUGGGCUAGAUGGAGAAGGUGGAGAUUGAUGGUGCCCAAAGCCUUAUGGAAUUACAGCCCAUAACUAAUGUCUUCCACCAGGAGUCCAGGGUAACAAUUAAGGAGGGUGAUAGACUGGUUGGUUUUUUUUUUAAAUUGAUGCAAUGUACUCAGUUCUAAAUCUCAAGUUGGCUCACUAAAGACUCAAUGUGGGUAAUUGGGGUGUCUAGAGAACCCUCUUGAAUAUAUUUUCCCCCAGCCAUUAGAUUAUGCUACUGGAAAUUCUUCAUACACAGUUUCCUUUACACGUGAGUGUUCUCUCCCAUUGUUAGGUUGAGGUCUUCUAAGUUGCAGGCUCAAGUGACCUUUCAGAACAAACGAGUACAUAUCAGAGUUCCUCCAGAAUAUAACUGUGCUUUGCAAGCAGCAAACUCUGCCCACUGAAGUUCUUAAUCAGUGCAACCCUGAAGUACGGGCAAAUGUGAACCCCAGCCAUAUCAAGGUAAAACCAGGAAUUUCUUCCGCCGAGUCAGGCAGUACCCAUUAAAACUUCAAGCUAAGGAGGGUCUUCAACCCCUAGCUCUGGCCUUUUUGGAAUAUGGGCAUCUUUGACUUUGUUGUGCCGAUUCAAAAAACUUGGGCACCAAGAAUACUGAUUUGUUCAAGAUCUAUGGGCCACACUCUAGGGGUGUCCCAGGUCUUUCUACCAAAAUUCUAUUUGCUGCUUACUGGAGGGAAUGAUGGAAGAUAAUGUGUGAUGUGAACAGUGAAGUUGAGAAAAAACAGAAGAGUCCUACAAAAUUUACCCAUAGAAAGAAAACUAAAAGAGGAACUCAUACCAAGAGGGAUAGAAAUACAAAUGCUUCAGUAACAGAUGAGGAGGAACAUAACAAAAUUUCACCAAGGCUAAAUAUUGAACAUGAAAAAAAGUGAACUGGCUCUUGUGUACAAAAGUAAAGUAAUUAGGCUUUAGUAUAAACUUCUAGCUGCAUCUGACUCUCCUGGGAGGGGUGCUUUUUGGCUGGUUUUGGCUACAGAUGGUGAGAUCAGAGCAGCUCUUCCUUCUGCUGGCCUCUUUCAGUUACUGGGAUGCCAUAUCAGAUACUUCGGAUACUCUUACUAAGAAGUAAUAAGGUUUUAAUAAAAUAUAACCAGAUUUUUGAAAUUCAGGUCAUGGGUGUGAAAUUAAAGACUCUUUCUAAAAUCUGCAAGGACAUCAACUUAAUCUGUGACACAGUACGAUCCCUUGCCCUGUUGAGAAUUCAGGUGUCCCCCAGAAGUAAGUUUACACUUAGCCUCUUUGAAAUUUUAUAUGGAAGACUAUUCCUGCAGUCCUCUAAUCAGGUAUUGUCUAAGGAUUUUCUGCCCCUGGAAAUGGAGGCUCUUUUAUAUGUAUACAGAUAGGUAACAUGCUAACUAGUAUCUCUAAGUCUGCUUCUAGCAGGCUCCAGUUCCUGAUGGACAUGUCCCUCCAUUCACUGAAGCCAGGAGACUGAGUGCUGCUUAAAACCUGGAGGAACCAACAUCCUGAAGAUCAGCUGAAGCCACAAUGUGUGUUGGUCCCUUUGAGAUACUCCUGACACCCAUGCAUCAGUCAAGCUAGCAGGAGUAAAACCAUGAAUUCACUAUACUUGGAUAAAACUUGUCCUCUCUGAACCUGAAUAAAGAACUAAGCCAGCCUGGU